GCCUUGAUGGUUCAGAGAAAAACUCUAGGACAACUCAGAAGAUAGAUACAGAAAAACUCUUAAGAUGCAUCAAUUUGAGUGAAUUACCACAGGAAUUGCUUAUAUGCAAGUUUUCAGGUAAAAAGAACUGUUGUUUUUAGGGGCCUAGAAGUGGAAGAAUAAUUUUAAGGCUGGAAGCUACAACCUCAUUUCCAGAAGAAUCCCUGGGUCUCACGUGUACACCAUGGUCAAAGAAGACUGCAGGACACACAAAAAUCAUGAACAUCACAGCAAUUGUUCCUGUCCCACCUGCUACCAAUGCCUACCUCAUGAAGGCCUAAGAAUAAGUUCCAUGGUUGUAAGCAAGAAUAAUCAACUCUGAGAACCUAAGCAAAAGGAGACUCGAUAAAAAGGAUAUGAGAGCUCAUGGGACAAAAGAGAGAACUUGAAGCUGGAGCAGAUCCAAGAAUCUACAGUAGCAGAUACCAUUAGACAAUUUAGCCAGGAUGGUGA